GCCAGACAUGGUGGCGCACAUUUGUAAUCCCAGGUACCUAGGAGACUGAGGCUGGGUGAUCUGAGCUCAGGAGUUCUGAGCUGCAGUAAACUAAGCAGAUUGGGUGCCUAUACUAAGUUCAGUAUUAAAAUGGUGACCCCUUUGCCUAAGGAGGGGAACACCAACCCAGACUGAAAAAGAGGAGGUCAAAGCUCCCAUGCUGAUCAGUAGUGGGAUUGGGUCCUUGAGUAGCUAGCCCCAGCACUUACCACCUGGAUGAGACAGGGAGACCAAAUCUG
rnacentral:SRP_RNA from 1 species